GAUGAACGCUAGCGGGAGGCCUAAUACAUGCAAGUCGAGCGGUAGAGUGACUUCGGUUGCUUGAGAGCGGCGAACGGGUGAGUAACGCGUACACAAUCUACCUUUAAGAGGGGAAUAGCCCUGGGAAACUGGGAUUAAUGCCCCAUGGCAUCACGAGACGGCAUCGUUUUGUGAUUAAAGCUGAGGUGCUUAGAGAUGAGUGUGCGUCUGAUUAGCUAGUUGGUGCGGUAACGGCGCACCAAGGCGACGAUCAGUAGGGGGCGUGAGAGCGUGGACCCCCACACGGGUACUGAGACACGGACCCGACUCCUACGGGAGGCAGCAGUAAGGAAUAUUGGUCAAUGGAGGAAACUACUGAACCAGCCAUCCCGCCGUGCAGGAAGAAUGCCCUACUGGGUUGUAAACUAGCUUUUGUUACGGAACGAAACGGACCUUUCUUAAUACAGAGGGCGUAAUGACGGUACCGUAAGAAUAAGCACC
rnacentral:rRNA from 1 species